rnacentral:tRNA from 1 species
CGCGCCGCUGGCCGGACGGGCGGCGACGGCGCUCCACGAGCUGCCGGCGACCGGUUCGCCUCUGGUCGGCCAGGC